rnacentral:rRNA from 1 species
GAUUUCUGGCUUGAAACAUUUGGCCGGCCACGGUUUCGUGUGUUAGUGCUUUGUGUUCUGGCCAUCCUUCCAAUCGCUACUGGCUAUUCUUCAUUGAUUGGUCAGUGGUAUUGGAUCUUUUACUUUGAAAAAAUUAGAGUGUUUCAAGCAGGCUUUAUGCUAUGAAUACAUUAGCAUGGAAUAAUAAUUUAGGACUUCGGUUCUAUUUUGUUGGUUUCUAGGACUGAAGUAAUGAUUGAUAGGGAUAGUUGGGGGUGCUAGUAUUCAGCGGCCAGAGGUGAAAUUCUCGGAUUCGCUGAAGACUAACUUAUGCGAAAGCAUU